rnacentral:rRNA from 1 species
UGGCUGUCGUCAGCUCGUGUCGUGAGAUGUUGGGUUAAGUCCCGUAACGAGCGCAACCCUUGUCCUUAGUUACCAGCACGUAAUGGUGGGCACUCUAAGGAGACUGCCGGUGACAAACCGGAGGAAGGUGGGGAUGACGUCAAGUCAUCAUGGCCCUUACGGCCUGGGCUACACACGUGCUACAAUGGUCGGUACAAAGGGUUGCCAAGCCGCGAGGUGGAGCUAAUCCCAUAAAACCGAUCGUAGUCCGGAUCGCAGUCUGCAACUCGACUGCGUGAAGUCGGAAUCGCUAGUAAUCGUGAAUCAGAAUGUCACGGUGAAUACGUUCCCGGGGUCUUGUACACACGCAG